rnacentral:rRNA from 1 species
UACGAAGGGGGCUAGCGUUGUUCGGAAUCACUGGGCGUAAAGGGCGCGUAGGCGGCCGAUCAAGUCGGGGGUGAAAGCCUGUGGCUUAACCACAGAAUGGCCUUCGAUACUGUUUGGCUUGAGACCGGAAGAGGUUAGUGGAACUGCGAGUGUAGAGGUGAAAUUCGUAGAUAUUCGCAAGAACACCAGUGGCGAAGGCGGCUGACUGGUCCGGUUCUGACGCUGAGGCGCGAAAGCGUGGGGAGCA